AGAAGAUUGGGAGUUUCUGAGUGCUGCAAAAGGCAGCAAGAAAUACCCCUGGGAAAUGUAGACCAGCCUCCAUGAGAUUGCCUUCAUACUCCUCUCUGCGGAAUCUCUUAUCAUCUUCAUGAUAGUCCAUCCCAGCACCUGGAGUCAAGUGGAUAUGUGAUGAUUUCAGCCUUCGUUCUUAAAGAAAAAGUCAUUCUUGAUGUCCCGGGAGUAUGACUAUCACAACCCUUUCUGUUAGCCAAUCAGAACACGUUACAUGAAAUGCAUAUAAGUGUUGAUAUAACUACUGUUCUCUCAAUGGCCAACCGAGAGGGCCAAUAAGUUAUUUCUUCUCUAUCCUUGCCCUUGCAUCUCAUUAAACCUACAGG